AUAUGAAGGCGGGCUGGAACCUCUCGGGGGUUACAGCCUUGCUGAAUUAUUCACCCUUGUCUUUUGCGUACUUCUUGUUUCCUUGGUGGGUUCGCCCACCACUAGGACAAACAUAAACCUUUUGUAAUUGCAAUCAGCGUCAGUAACAAAUUAAUAAUUACAACUUUCAACAACGGAUCUCUUGGUUCUGGCAUCGAUGAAGAACGCAGCGAAAUGCGAUAAGUAGUGUGAAUUGCAGAAUUCAGUGAAUCAUCGAAUCUUUGAACGCACAUUGCGCCCUUUGGUAUUCCAAAGGGCAUGCCUGUUCGAGCGUCAUUUGUACCCUCAAGCUUUGCUUGGUGUUGGGCGUCUUGUCUCUAGCUUUGCUGGAGACUCGCCUUAAAGUAAUUGGCAGCCGGCCUACUGGUUUCGGAGCGCAGCACAAGUCGCACUCUCUAUCAGCAAAGGUCUAGCAUCCAUUAAGCCUUUUUUCAACUUUUGACCUCGGAUCAGGUAGGGAUACCCGCUGAACUUAAGCAUAUCA
rnacentral:rRNA from 1 species